rnacentral:rRNA from 1 species
CGAGCGGCGAACGGGUGAGUAACACGUGGGUGACCUGCCCUCAGCUCUGGGAUAAGCCUGGGAAACUGGGUCUAAUACCGGAUAUGACUUGGCCUCGCAUGGGGUUGGGUGGAAAGUUUUUCGGCUGGGGAUGGGCCCGCGGCCUAUCAGCUUGUUGGUGGGGUGAUGGCCUACCAAGGCGACGACGGGUAGCCGGCCUGAGAGGGCGACCGGCCACACUGGGACUGAGACACGGCCCAGACUCCUACGGGAGGCAGCAGUGGGGAAUAUUGCGCAAUGGGCGAAAGCCUGACGCAGCGACGCCGCGUGGGGGAUGACGGCCUUCGGGUUGUAAACCUCUUUCGACCGGGACGAAGCGGAAGUGACGGUACCGGUAGAAGAAGCACCGGCCAACUACGUGCCAGCAGCCGCGGUAAUACGUAGGGUGCGAGCGUUGUCCGGAAUUAUUGGGCGUAAAGAGCUCGUAGGCGGUGUGUCGCGUCGGUCGUGAAAACUUGGGGCUCAACCCUGAGCUUGCGGUCGAUACGGGCAUCACUUGAGUUCGGCAGGGGAGACUGGAAUUCCUGGUGUAGCGGUGAAAUGCGCAGAUAUCAGGAGGAACACCGGUGGCGAAGGCGGGUCUCUGGGCCGAUACUGACGCU